UUAAUUUGAGAGUUUGAUCCUGGCUCAGGACGAACGCUGGCGGCGUGCCUAAUACAUGCAAGUCGAACGAACUCUGGUAUUGAUUGGUGCUUGCAUCAUGAUUUACAUUGGAGUGAGUGGCGAACUGGUGAGUAACACGUGGGAAACCUGCCCAGAAGCGGGGGAUAACACCUGGAAACAGAUGCUAAUACCGCAUAACAACUUGGACCGCAUGGUCCGAGUUUGAAAGAUGGCUUCGGCUAUCACUUUUGGAUGGUCCCGCGGCGUAUUAGCUAGAUGGUGGGGUAACGGCUCACCAUGGCAAUGAUACGUAGCCGACCUGAGAGGGUAAUCGGCCACAUUGGGACUGAGACACGGCCCAAACUCCUACGGGAGGCAGCAGUAGGGAAUCUUCCACAAUGGACGAAAGUCUGAUGGAGCAACGCCGCGUGAGUGAAGAAGGGUUUCGGCUCGUAAAACUCUGUUGUUAAAGAAGAACAUAUCUGAGAGUAACUGUUCAGGUAUUGACGGUAUUUAACCAGAAAGCCACGGCUAACUACGUGCCAGCAGCCGCGGUAAUACGUAGGUGGCAAGCGUUGUCCGGAUUUAUUGGGCGUAAAGCGAGCGCAGGCGGUUUUUUAAGUCUGAUGUGAAAGCCUUCGGCUCAACCGAAGAAGUGCAUCGGAAACUGGGAAACUUGAGUGCAGAAGAGGACAGUGGAACUCCAUGUGUAGCGGUGAAAUGCGUAGAUAUAUGGAAGAACACCAGUGGCGAAGGCGGCUGUCUGGUCUGUAACUGACGCUGAGGCUCGAAAGUAUGGGUAGCAAACAGGAUUAGAUACCCUGGUAGUCCAUACCGUAAACGAUGAAUGCUAAGUGUUGGAGGGUUUCCGCCCUUCAGUGCUGCAGCUAACGCAUUAAGCAUUCCGCCUGGGGAGUACGGCCGCAAGGCUGAAACUCAAAGGAAUUGACGGGGGCCCGCACAAGCGGUGGAGCAUGUGGUUUAAUUCGAAGCUACGCGAAGAACCUUACCAGGUCUUGACAUACUAUGCAAAUCUAAGAGAUUAGACGUUCCCUUCGGGGACAUGGAUACAGGUGGUGCAUGGUUGUCGUCAGCUCGUGUCGUGAGAUGUUGGGUUAAGUCCCGCAACGAGCGCAACCCUUAUUAUCAGUUGCCAGCAUUAAGUUGGGCACUCUGGUGAGACUGCCGGUGACAAACCGGAGGAAGGUGGGGAUGACGUCAAAUCAUCAUGCCCCUUAUGACCUGGGCUACACACGUGCUACAAUGGAUGGUACAACGAGUUGCGAACUCGCGAGAGUAAGCUAAUCUCUUAAAGCCAUUCUCAGUUCGGAUUGUAGGCUGCAACUCGCCUACAUGAAGUCGGAAUCGCUAGUAAUCGCGGAUCAGCAUGCCGCGGUGAAUACGUUCCCGGGCCUUGUACACACCGCCCGUCACACCAUGAGAGUUUGUAACACCCAAAGUCGGUGGGGUAACCUUUUAGGAACCAGCCGCCUAAGGUGGGACAGAUGAUUAGGGUGAAGUCGUAACAAGGUAGCCGUAGGAGAACCUGCGGCUGGAUCACCUCCUUUCUAAGGAA
rnacentral:rRNA from 2 species